rnacentral:rRNA from 1 species
GACAGAGGUGCCAAGCGUUAGGCGGAAUCACUGGGCUUAAAGCGUGUGUAGGUGGAUUUGUAAGUACCUUGUGAAAUCCCAUGGCUCAACCAUGGAACUGCUCGGUAUACUGCGAAUCUUGAGCCACGUUAGGGGCUACCGGAACGAAAUGUGGAGCGGUGAAAUGCGUAGAUAUCAUUUGGAACGCCAAUGGUGAAAACAGGUAGCUGGGAGUGUGCUGACACUGAGACACGAAGCCAGGGGAGCGAACGGG